rnacentral:piRNA from 1 species
UGCUGGAGCCAACAUGUGGCCAGGCC